CCCGCCCCUCACGUCACCGCCCGACGGCCCCGCCCCGCGCCCCAAGUUUUGGGAGGGUUCCGCUCUCCCCACCCGGUACCAGGACCCACCCGGGCCCGCGCUCCCUGCGGCUUCCAGGGACCCUCCAGCCCCCACGCACCCUCCUGCAAAGCCGAGGGUUAAGCUGGGGAAAGGGGGCCUCUAGGAAGGCGACCCCCCUGGAAAUGCCUGGCAGCUCCAAAAACACUAAUGAAACUCAGCUCCAGCCUCCGCCCCUCCAGUUGUGGGUGGCCCCUCUUGCGGUUCGUCUGAGGCUAGGGGACUAGGCGCAUCGCCUAGCGAGACUCCAGUGGCCUUUUCUGUCCAGUUUGUAACCGGAACUAGACCGACCCCGGCCGCCCCCUCCAGUGCUGGGGCGGGUGAGGAAUGGCCCCGCCGGGGAGGCGGGGGAGGGAGGCCUGGGCCACCCUGGGGUCUGACCUUUGCUCCACCUCUUAGGUGCUCACGACCCAGAGUGGUGCCCUGCUUGGUACUGCCACUGGAUCCUCUGGCUUAUGAAGCCGUCCAGGACAGGAAGGGUGGGGGGUGGUCCUUAGUUCUCUUCGUGGGGUCAUGCAGAGUGGUUUCCUCGAGGUCCCACGCCCGUCUCAGGAAGCCAGAAACGCAAGAUGCCGGGCGCUCGGCCCGAACCCGUGCCGCGGCCCAAGGGGCAAGGCGGAUACCGAGGCAAGGCCUAAAGGGCCGGACUCUGACCGCACCCUCCGGACACUGCAGGGCUCCGCCGGCCAGAGGCGGCCUUGGCGCCAACCACACCUAGCAGCGGGGUCCCCGGGCCCACCGAUGCGCCCUCCUAGCCCCGCGCUCCUUCGAGGGGUUCCAAGGUGACUCAGAGACGCAGCUGACACAAUUCUGAGGCCCCCAGGCUCUCGGAGGCGGAAUCAGCUGGAAAGGAACAUUGCUAAGUAGGAAUUUCAGGCACCUGUGAACUGAGCCCACUCAAUAAUCGGCCCUUUCCCUUAACCAAACUCAGCAAAGGAAGAAAGACCAAGUUGCUGCGGAUGCACAGAGCCACGUGGGUGCGGGUCCUCUAGAAACAGGAAUUCAGAGUCAGUAGAUAUGGAAAUGUUAUGGUUUGCAGUCUUCGGACCAUGCUGCUUUCAUGCUGUUCACAUGAUUCUCCUCGGACUGCGAGGUAAAGUCCAAGAAACAAGUCGAAUGUUUGUAUUUUCAUAGAAAAAACAUCUGUAAGGGUGCACACCGACUGUUAACCACGGUUACGCGGGGAGGGGAAACAAGGGAGUUACAUUUUUUUACUCCCUUGACUUUGGAUUUUGUAUUUUUCCAGUUGUAUUUACUUUCAUAAUUUAGAAAGCUAAUAAAACAUGUUUAAAGAAACAGAAGCUAGAAAUUCUCUAAGAACUCUAGGAAGUAGAGGCCGGGCGCGGUGGCUCACGCCUGUAAUCCCAGCACUUUGGGAGGCCGAGGCGGGUGGAUCACAAGGUCAGGAGUUCGAGACCUGUCUGGCCAACAUGGUGAAACCCUGUUUCUACUAAAAAUACAAAAAUUAAUGGUGACAUGUACCUGUAAUCCCAGCCACUUGGGAGGCUGAGGCAGGACAAUCGCCGAACUCAGGGAGGCGGAGGUUGCAGUAAGCCGAAAUCGUGCCACUGUACUCCAGCCUGGGUGACAGAGUGAGACUCUGUCUCAAAAAAAAAAAAAGAACUCUAGGGAGUAUAAAUUAAUAAAUGAAGUCUAUGUCUUCAUUCUGUAUCAAAAUAA
rnacentral:lncRNA from 1 species